rnacentral:rRNA from 1 species
AGAGUUUGAUCCUGGCUCAGGACGAACGCUGGCGGCGUGCCUAAUACAUGCAAGUCGAGCGCGUGUAGCAAUACACGAGCGGCGGACGGGUGAGUAACGCGUGGGUAACCUGCCCUCUAGCCUGGGAUAACAGCGCGAAAGUGCUGCUAACACCGGAUAUGCUCACAAGGAGGCAUCUCCUGGUGAGGAAAGUUUACACUAGAGGAUGGGCCCGCGUCCCAUUAGCUAGUUGGUGAGGUAACGGCCCACCAAGGCGACGAUGGGUAGCCGACCUGAGAGGGUGAUCGGCCACACUGGGACUGAGACACGGCCCAGACUCCUACGGGAGGCAGCAGUAGGGAAUUUUCCGCAAUGGGCGAAAGCCUGACGGAGCAACGCCGCGUGAGGGAUGAAGGUCUUCGGAUCGUAAACCUCUGUCUUCAGGGACGAUAAUGACGGUACCUGAGGAGGAAGCCACGGCUAACUACGUGCCAGCAGCCGCGGUAAUACGUAGGUGGCGAGCGUUGUCCGGAAUUACUGGGCGUAAAGGGCGUGUAGGCGGCCUUUUAAGUCAGAUGUGAAAUCUCAGGGCUUAACCCUGAAACUGCAUUUGAAACUGGAGGGCUUGAGGAUCGGAGAGGGCAGUGGAAUUCCCAGUGUAGCGGUGAAAUGCGUAGAUAUUGGGAGGAACACCAGUGGCGAAGGCGACUGCCUGGACGACACCUGACGCUGAGGCGCGAAAGCUAGGGGAGCAAACGGGAUUAGAUACCCCGGUAGUCCUAGCCGUAAACGAUGGGUACUAGGUGUGGGAGGUAUCGACCCCUUCCGUGCCGCAGUUAACACAAUAAGUACCCCGCCUGGGGAGUACGGCCGCAAGGUUGAAACUCAAAUGAAUUGACGG